GAGGCCCUACGGGCGCAGCAGUGGGGAAUAUUGGGCAAUGGGCGCAAGCCUGACCCAGCAACGCCGCGUGAAGGAAGAAGGCUUUCGGGUUGUAAACUUCUUUUCUCAGGGACGAAGAAAGUGACGGUACCUGAGGAAUAAGCCACGGCUAACUACGUGCCAGCAGCCGCGGUAAUACGUAGGUGGCAAGCGUUAUCCGGAUUUACUGGGUGUAAAGGGCGUGUAGGCGGCAAAGCAAGUCAGAUGUGAAAACCACGGGCUCAACCUGUGACCUGCAUUUGAAACUGUUUUUCUUGAGUACUGGG
rnacentral:rRNA from 1 species